AUACAUUGCCUACGUGGGUCAAAGUGUAAUAUCUCUUUUUAUGAGCCUAAUAUCUGAUACGGGUGGUCUUUCGACCUGAGAUAUUAAACUUAUUUUUGCGAGUUGGCAGAGUGCUUAAAGCCUGCUUCUACUCCGCCGCGGGUGGCGCGGUAUUGCGCUACCUUCUGAAUUGGCCCACGUAUG